UUACGGCCAUAUCACGUAGGAACGUCGAUUCCUGUACGAUCACAGAAGUUAAGCAACAUCGAGCCUGGUCACUACCUACAUGUGUUGACCGCUUGGGAAUACCAGGUGCUGUAAG